rnacentral:lncRNA from 12 species
GGGGGGGGGGGGGGGGGGGGGGGGGGGGGGGGGGGGGGGGGGGGGGGGGGGGGGGGGGGGGGGGGGGGGGGGGGGGGGGGGGGGGGGGGGCGCGGCGCUGGUGGUGGCCGUGGUGGUGGCGGUGGCCGUCCCCACGCUGUGCCACUGCGGGGGACAGGACGGGAAUUCCACGGGGGAGCUGCGGAAAGCUCUGGAUGUCACCAACAGGUCCCUGGCCGUGUCGCGAGGGAGGUGGCAGCGCUGCAGGGAGGAGCUGGGAGCGCUGCAGGGACAAAGCUUGGAGCUGGAGAGGGCGCUGGCCAAUGUCACCCGGCUGGAGGAGCAGAACCGGGCGUUGGGGACAGAGGUGACACGGCAGCGAGAGCAGCUGGGGGAGGAGCAGAGCCUCAGGUCCCAGCUCCAGCGGCAGAUCCGCCUCCUGCAGGAGCAGCUGCGGGACGUGAGGAGCCAGCGCUCCGCAGGGGACAGGCCCGCGGUGUCCCCCGGUGUCCCCACCCUCCUCCUCCUGCUCGGGAUGCUGCUCCUGUGACACCGAGCACCCCGGGGUCCCCCUGUCCCCUCUGGGGGCACCCAGCCUGGGGGGUGACAGUGGCCUCAGGGUGCUCUGCCUUGUCCCAGUGUCCCCAACUCCACGGGGACAUCCCAGAGUGGCCAUUCCCCUCCAGCCACCACUUGGAGGGAGGGAACACAGGGACACGGGGACACGGGGACAUGGGGACACAGGGACACAGGGACACAGGGACACGGGGACACAGGGACACAGGGACACAGGGACACGGGGACACCUCCUUGUCCCCUUAUCCGGGCUCUAAGCAGUGUCCCCUGUCCCCGUAGGUGGCCGGAGGGGUGGGGA